GUGAACGCUGGCGGUAGGCCUAACCCCUGCCAGUCGAACGGCAGCACAGUAAGAGCUUGCUCUUACGGGUGGCGAGUGGCGGACGGGUGAGGAAUACAUCGGAAUCUACUUUUUCGUGGGGGAUAACGUAGGGAAACUUACGCUAAUACCGCAUACGACCUACGGGUGAAAGCAGGGGAUCUUCGGACCUUGCGCGAUUGAAUGAGCCGAUGUCGGAUUAGCUAGUUGGCGGGGUAAAGGCCCACCAAGGCGACGAUCCGUAGCUGGUCUGAGAGGAUGAUCAGCCACACUGGAACUGAGACACGGUCCAGACUCCUACGGGAGGCAGCAGUGUGGAAUAUUGGACAAUGGGCGCAAGCCUGAUCCAGCCAUACCGCGUGGGUGAAGAAGGCCUUCGGGUUGUAAAGCCCUUUUGUUGGGAAAGAAAAGCAGCAGGUUAAUACCCCGCUGUUCUGACGGUACCCAAAGAAUAAGCACCGGCUAACUUCGUG
rnacentral:rRNA from 1 species